ensembl:lncRNA
CUCAUGAAUCUAUAUAAUAGUUGUAUUUUAUGUAGCCAGCUUUAUUAAUGUUUAUUGGAGGAGGUGAAAAACAAGUCUAAACCAAGACUUAAACUUAGAUAAAGUAAUUGUCAGUAAUUUAAGUUCCAGCUGUCGAACAGGAUGGAUUAUCGGUGGGGAGUGGAGCAGUGGCCAGGCUGGGGGAGCUUGUGGUUCCUGUAAGCAAUGGAGUGAUGAUGAAGCUGGUUUAAAUUUGAACAGUGGGGUGCUGAAGCUGGUGGGGUGAUGGUGAGGCUAUCAUGGCAUGAAGGAAGCCUGCUGUCCAAGAGCCUACCCUCUCUCUCCAGCAUAUCCAUGGCAUUUGGAUCCAUAAAGGAGCCACUGGUCCUAGUUCGGAACAGCUCCUCAAUUUGCCGGACUAAAUCGAAGGCCUCUUGUGACGGCCGACAAAGUACACCUGGCUUGAACUCUUUCAGCUUCAGUAAAACACUGUGAUUUCCUUCAGGACUGUCAUCAUUGUGCUUAAUUGCACUUUGGCAACCCUCACAAAUCUUGGAAUAUUUAAUCACUUAAUUGAUAUUCACUUGUUGUGCAUGUACAGUACAGGUCAAAAGUUUGGAAACAUUACUAUUUUUAAUGUUUUUGAAAGAAGUCUCUUCUGCUCAUCAAGCCUGCAUUUAUUUGAUCAAAAAUACAGAAAAAACAGUAAUAUUGUGAAAUAUUAUUACAACUUAAAA